UGACGAGUGGCGGACGGGUGAGUAAUGUCUGGGAAACUGCCUGAUGGAGGGGGAUAACUACUGGAAACGGUGGCUAAUACCGCAUAAUGUCGCAAGACCAAAGAGGGGGACCUUCGGGCCUCUUGCCAUCAGAUGUGCCCAGAUGGGAUUAGCUUGUUGGUGAGGUAACGGCUCACCAAGGCGACGAUCCCUAGCUGGUCUGAGAGGAUGACCAGCCACACUGGAACUGAGACACGGUCCAGACUCCUACGGGAGGCAGCAGUGGGGAAUAUUGCACAAUGGGCGCAAGCCUGAUGCAGCCAUGCCGCGUGUAUGAAGAAGGCCUUCGGGUUGUAAAGUACUUUCAGCGGGGAGGAAGGUGUUGCGGUUAAUAACCGCAGCAAUUGACGUUACCCGCAGAAGAAGCACCGGCUAACUCCGUGCCAGCAGCCGCGGUAAUACGGAGGGUGCAAGCGUUAAUCGGAAUUACUGGGCGUAAAGCGCACGCAGGCGGUCUGUCAAGUCGGAUGUGAAAUCCCCGGGCUCAACCUGGGAACUGCAUUCGAAACUGGCAGGCUUGAGUCUUGUAGAGGGGGGUAGAAUUCCAGGUGUAGCGGUGAAAUGCGUAGAGAUCUGGAGGAAUACCGGUGGCGAAGGCGGCCCCCUGGACAAAGACUGACGCUCAGGUGCGAAAGCGUGGGGAGCAAACAGGAUUAGAUACCCUGGUAGUCCACGCCGUAAACGAUGUCUACUUGGAGGUUGUGCCCUUGAGGCGUGGCUUCCGGAGCUAACGCGUUAAGUAGACCGCCUGGGGAGUACGGCCGCAAGGUUAAAACUCAAAUGAAUUGACGGGGGCCCGCACAAGCGGUGGAGCAUGUGGUUUAAUUCGAUGCAACGCGAAGAACCUUACCUGGUCUUGACAUCCACAGAACUUUCCAGAGAUGGAUUGGUGCCUUCGGGAACUGUGAGACAGGUGCUGCAUGGCUGUCGUCAGCUCGUGUUG
rnacentral:rRNA from 1 species